CGAGCCUGCGAAGGCAAGCGGAUCUCUUAAAGCUGUUCUCAGUUCGGACUGCAGUCUGCAACUCGACUGCACGAAGCUGGAAUCGCUAGUAAUCGCGGAUCAGCACGCCGCGGUGAAUACGUUCCCGGGCCUUGUACACACCGCCCGUCACACCAUGAGAGUCGAUAACACCCGAAGCCUGUGAGCUAACCUUUUAGGAGGCAGCAGUCGAAGGUGGGGUUGAUGAUUGGGGUGAAGUCGUAACAAGGUAAC
rnacentral:rRNA from 1 species